rnacentral:rRNA from 1 species
UACGUAGGGGGCAAGCGUUGUCCGGAUUUAUUGGGCGUAAAGAGCGUGUAGGCGGCCAGGUAGGUCUGCUGUGAAAACUCGAGGCUUAACCUCGAGAUGUCGGCGGAAACCAUCUGGCUAGAGUCCGGAAGAGGAGAGCGGAAUUCCUGGUGUAGCGGUGAAAUGCGCAGAUAUCAGGAAGAACACCCGUGGCGAAGGCGGUUCUCUGGGACGGUACUGACGCUGAGACGCGAAAGCGUGGGGAGCGAACAGG